GAGCAAGCCCAGGUACCGGAUCAAUGGGCGGUUCAAAUCGCGCGCGUGGUGAUCGCAAUAAGAUGGCGCGUGAGACAGGUGGGCUUAAAGGCCGCGACACAGGCUUUAGCUGCAUAACGGUAUGCAUAAGGAAAUGGACCAAUCAAUUUCUUUAUGCACACGGUUAUGCAAUUAUGCAAAAACCUGUGUCGAGACUUUAAGGCACUAUAGAUAUAGGAUCUCUAGACUGAAUCAUUUUCGGGUUUUCGAAGAGUGGGGGGUCCGUUUUUUUCUAUCAGACGAUCCGCCAUUUUUAGUCCUUUUCCUCUCUCCUUGCCCAUUUCGCUGCCUUGUAGCUGCUGGUCGCCUCGUCGUUCAGGAAUGCGUUCGAAAAUAUUCCUUGCAAAAGAUGAGAUAUUUUACCGCAUCCGCCAUAUUCGCCGGACAUCGCUCCAUCUGAUUACUGGUUAUUCCGACGGAUGCAGCACGAUUUGGCAGGAAAUCGGUUCACUUCUUUCGCAGAAAUCGAAAAUUGACUCCUAACUUGGAUCGCUUCAAAAGACGAAACAUUUUUUCGAGAUGGAAUUCGAAAAUUGCCUGAGAGCUGGGACAAAGUAAUAGCCAGUGAUGGACAAUACUUUGAUUAAUCUGUUUAUUCAAUUUGUUCUGAAAUAAAUGCAUUUUUGACCACAAAAAAAA